UACGUAGGGUGCAAGCGUUAAUCGGAAUUACUGGGCGUAAAGCGUGCGCAGGCGGUUUUGUAAGUCUGAUGUGAAAUCCCCGGGCUCAACCUGGGAAUUGCAUUGGAGACUGCAAGGCUAGAAUCUGGCAGAGGGGGGGUAGAAUUCCACGUGUAGCAGUGAAAUGCGUAGAUAUGCGGAGGAACACCGAUGGCGAAGGCAACCCCCUGGGCCUGUACUGACGCUCAUGCACGAAAGCGUGGGGAGCAAACAGG
rnacentral:rRNA from 1 species